UACGGGGGGGGCAAGCGUUGUUCGGAAUUACUGGGCGUAAAGGGCUCGUAGGUGGCCAACUAAGUCAGACGUGAAAUCCCUCGGCUUAACCGGGGAACUGCGUCUGAUACUGGAUGGCUUGAGUAUGGGAGAGGAAUGCGGAAUUCCAGGUGUAGCGGUGAAAUGCGUAGAUAUCUGGAGGAACACCGGUGGCGAAGGCGGCAUCCUGGACCGGCAUUGACGCUGAGUGAGCGAAAGCCAGGGGAGCAAACGGG
rnacentral:rRNA from 1 species